rnacentral:rRNA from 1 species
GACGAACGCUGGCGGCGUGCUUAACACAUGCAAGUCGAACGGAGAUAGCGGAGUGUUUACAUGAAGCUAUUUUAGUGGCGGACGGGUGAGUAACACGUGGGUAACCUGCCCUAUGGAGGGGGAUAACACAUAGAAAUGUGUGCUAAUACCGCAUAACGUGCCUUGAUCGCAUGACCGAGGUACCAAAGGUUUACUACCAUAGGAUGGACCCGCGGCCCAUUAGCUAGUUGGUGAGGUAACGGCUCACCAAGGCGACGAUGGGUAGCCGAUCUGAGAGGAUGAACGGCCAAAUUGGAACUGAGACACGGUCCAGACUCCUACGGGAGGCAGCAGUGGGGAAUAUUGCACAAUGGGGGAAACCCUGAUGCAGCAACGCCGCGUGAGUGACGAAGGCCUUCGGGUUGUAAAACUCUGUCUUAGCUGACGAUAAUGACGGUAAGCUAGGAGGAAGCCACGGCUAACUACGUGCCAGCAGCCGCCGCAG